rnacentral:rRNA from 1 species
GACGAACGCUGGCGGCGCGCUUAACACAUGCAAGUCGAACGGAAAGGCCUGCUUUCCCUUGUGGAUUGCGGGUACUCGAGUGGCGAACGGGUGAGUAACACGUGAGUGAUCUGCCCCCAACUUGGGUAUAAGCCUGGGAAACUGGGUCUAAUUCCCGAUAGGACUGCAGGGUGGUGCCUGUGGUGGAAAACGAUUUUCUAGUGGUUGGGGAUGAGCUCGCGGCCUAUCAGCUUGUUGGUGGGGUAAUGGCCUACCAAGGCGGCGACGGGUAGCCGGCCUGGGAGGGUGGACGGCCACAUUGGGACUGAGAUACGGCCCAGACUCCGACGGGAGGCAGCAGUGGGGAAUAUUGCACAAUGGGCGGAAGCCUGAUGCAGCGACGCCGCGUGGGGGAUGACGGCCUUCGGGUGGUAAACUCCUUUCGACCGCGAGGAAGCCACCUGGUUGGAAGGGUGGUGACGGUAGUGGUAGAAGAAGCACCGGCUAACUACGUG